rnacentral:lncRNA from 1 species
AGUCUGUUGCCCAGGAUGGAAUGCAGUAGUGUGAUUACACCUAACUUCAGCCUGAAACUCCUGGGGUCAAGUUAUCCCCCGACCUCAUCAUCCCAAGUAAUGGGGACUACAGAGUUUAGGAUGCUUCAAGGGAAAGAUGAACCGGGGAACCGCCACCGUGACUAUUUCUCAUCUACAUAUCCACCCCCCGAAGUUCUUAAGGUGGAGCGGAAUUCAUUUUAUUUGCAAAUGUGGAAGGCAUUAUAAAAACCGUGAAUGAUGCCCCCUCCCAUGAGGGAUACAGGGAGAGCCACGUGAAGAGGAUGUUGGGCUUCUUCAAGCUGGCAGGGCACUGAGCUGACUGUCCACCACACUCACCAGGGGCCUUUGUGCAUCCCGUGGGGCAGCUCUGGGAAAGGAGGGCCAGAAAGGAUGGGCUUUCCCUUUUCCUCGUGGCAGAAACUUCCCUGACUUCAUAGCUGGGUUCCCCCUAUCCACAGUUUACAGUACAACUAUCUCCUCCAAGUUGGCCAGCAUUGCCUCUGAUACGUGAACAAGAAGUAUUUGGAGGGUUAAUAAAUACAAAUCAACACAUAUACACAUGAAGAGAAAAUGGAUGUAAUAACCAAGGACUGCCUGAUAUGCGGGAACUGAAGCUCAGAAAGGCAAAACAACUUUUCAUGCUCUUCUACCUAAUAAGUCGGAGAACCAAGAUUCAAAUUCUAAAUGCGGGUCUGAUUGAGGCCAAGCAGGUGAGCAGGCUCAAUGGGAUUCUCAGUGUUGGCCUGGCUUCCACACAAGGAAGAGGCCACUGGCAGGGGUUCCUGUCCUCAGCCAGGCUUCUAGCCUGACACUGGCUGGACAACGCAGAGUGAAGCUGGUCAUAGGGCAGGGUUUCCUGAAGCUGUGCCUGCUUCAUGAGGCUGCCUGCUGGCCCAGGCUCACCUCUCCCUCCAAAGGGCACAGUGGCUAUUUCUGGCCGUCCCAGCCUCUGGCUGUGUCUGUCUUCUUUAACCUUCCUGAGGCUCCAAAGGCCAUUAGGAAGCUGGCCGAAGCUUCAUGGCCCAAUGACAGGACUAGGAUCUUACUGGAUGGAGGAGGGGAGAGAGUGAGUCUUUAGGUCCGUGAAAUUGCUGCCAGCAUUUGGCCAGCUGUCGUCCAUCAGCCAGAGAGCUAACCAGAGCCUCCCUUGGGGCUGGUCCCUGGAGU